rnacentral:lncRNA from 1 species
AGACUGUCUGUUGUAAGAAGAGGUGUACACUGCAGUGCUCCUGCACUGAGUUCAUCUAUUUGGUCCCUCUGUUCCAAUGGUGAUGGUGUCCAUGCAGAUGAUUCAAGGACCUAUAACCUUACCCACUCUCUUUGCAUCUUCCACUUUUCCCAGGCAUUUGUGAAAUCAUAAAGCAGGCUAUGUAUGGUAUCUCUUACUGUAACGGCAGAACAAAAAUCCUAACUUCUUGGCUUAUCCUGCCAUCUCUGUCUUGGACAGGGCUCUGAGCCCUGGCUCUUGCUUUGUAGACCAGGCUGGCCUUAAACUCACAGAGAUCCACCUGCCUCUGCCUCCCGAGUAUGCUACUAGGCCCAGCUUCACAACAGAUAAAUUCAGCAAACCCAGGUUAUGCUGUCGGUAUCCUUCCACAGAGCUCCCCCACAGACAGCUGGUGGAGUUAACACUCAGCAAGUCCCAUCUCCCAGUACACAGCAAGCCACCAUGUCCUCAUCACUUGCAGAGGAAGGACAAUGCAUGGGGGCUGGCUCUGUGGCAGAUGUUCCUGGAGAGCACUGGAGGCUAGCUGGUCACAGCCUCCAUUGUGGUUAUUCAGCAGGGUGUCAGAGAUGGGCUGAGAUCCUGGUGUGACCCCCAUUACUGGAAGGGCCCCUGGUUGCUAGAGUGCCAGGUGUGGAGGUAUGCUGAAGAGCAGCAGGGGCCACUGUCUGCUGAGCUGCCUGGGACCUGGAUUCUUAUGGCCCUUCUAAGGCUUGUCUUGCCCUUGUUCCUGAUUGGUGCAGGCUGCCUGCUCCCAGGGCCUUGUUGGUUGUCCCCUGGUACUGGAUUCUGCUCUUAGGAUGCUGGGCAGGCAUCUUGUAAGCCAUUCUUUUUCCCCCUUACUUUGUUCACUCAUUACAGUAUCCCUUUACAGCUGCUCUUCUCAGAGUCAGCCUCUCUCUUCUUAAGCUCUGCCCUUCUACCUCGGCCUGACUCCUCCAUCCCCUCAGUGCUGGCCUGUGGAGGUCUCCGGUGGCUUUCUUGUCUGCGCUUUCUCGUGAUGGCAGUGGUCUGCCUCGAGGAUGGAGGAUGAUGUUUCCUCCCAGCUCCCUUCUUUAUCGACUGCUCAGUUCCUCCCAUCCUCUAAAUGGUGAUGUGUCUUCACCCUCAGAAGGUUCUUUUUAAAAGACACACUUGUUUGUGUGGACACAAGUGUGGGAGUCUGCUCUCCUUCCACCGCAUAGGCUCUGGAAAUGGAACUCAGAUUACUAGGCCUGGCUGCAAGCACCAUUGCUUACGAAAGCCUCACACAGACCCUCAGGAGAGUCUUAGUCAACGAUCCUAGGUCUGCAUCUCUGAUACGGCUUGCUCUCCUGUCCCAGAGUUGACCGACACCUGCUUCACCUCUGUGUAGACCUUCAAGGGGCUUUCAUAGUGUACCUAUAAUAUAACUUUUAAACCCCUCCCCCCAAGACAUCAGGCAAAUCUUCCACCACAGAACUGCACCCUGAUUCCCAAGUGUGACUUGAGUCCCUCCUGUCCCCAACUCUACUUUUCUCCGGACCUUCCUUAGUUAGUAACUGGGAAUUCUCUUCUGCUGGGCGCCCAUGCUAACACAUAUGGAAGGGCGCUUAACUUGCCCCCUCCCUGCUGUCACCUUCAUUCAGCCUAUCCGUCAAGGCUCCCAGCAGCUCUUCCCACCCUUCCCUCAAGCCCAGGGCCCGUGUCUCUUCCUUGGGGUCAUGGAGGAUGGCUCUUCAGAUUUCACACUCUGCAGACUACAAUGACCCAUUUAUCAUAGGUUCUCCGUGUGACUCUCUACUUCAGAAAGUGUCUUGUCACAUGCGUGGUAAUCUCCAGCCCUCACCAUGGAGCCCAGACCUUCUUCUGUGCCCUCCCUUCUCCCUCCCCUCACUCUCUAGAAGACUAUAUAAAGAACCUGAUUGGGCAGUUCAUGGAUGGUCAAAGAGUAUAGGGUUGGCCGGUCAGCCUUCCUGACCACUGACCACCCGUGGCACUGGAGAGCAGGGGUCAUCCUGGAGAUGGGUGCAGAAGCACUCAUGGGUGUUGAUGGAUCUGAGGAUGUUUUGUCAAGGAGUAUCAGAGAGCCUUGAUAUUUUCACGGCUUUUAAGCUCCAUAGGCAGUGUUUAGGAAUAAGUGGUUAACUACAGAGCCAUUUAUCUAUACUUCUCAGGAAGCUGAAAUAAUACAGUGGUGAAUAGAACAUCAGUUCUGGCCUGCUUAUGCAAUGAAUCCUCCAAAGUUUCUCUCAACACAUACUGUAUAUAUUACAAGUAAAAAUACCCAGUUUUAUAAAUAUAGGUAAAAAUGAAUAUCUAUAUUCAGAAAAGAAGUGUUAUGAAAUAAAGCUUUAGAUUUGACCAGCGUUCGAUGGAUGAGGUUAGAAGCAAUCAUUAGUCUAUUUUGAAGUCAGCAUUUAUUUUUAACUUUUACAUUUAGCAGGGCGUGUGUGUGUGUGUGUGUGUGUGUGUGUGUGUGUGUGUGUGCGCGCGCGCGCCAUGGUGUGGGAGUGGACAACUUGUGGAAGUUGGUUCUCUCCAUUUCAAACUCAGCUCAUUAGGCUUGGCAGCAGAAACAUUUACUCACUGCCUUGUUACAUUUAUCUGUCUGUCUGUCUGUCUGUCUGUCUGUCUGUUUAUGAGACAGACUCAGAAUCAUGGGGAUGGGUGUUUCACUUGGGGAUUGGAGGAUGGGUGGUGUAAGCUUCAGGUGGCCUGGAGGAUCUGCCCCCUCUGUCUAAUCCAAUCAGCCUCCUGCUUAUCAGCUCACCCAGCGUCCCACAGUCUCUGUGCAGGAGUCUGCCAUGCUCAUAUCCCUCCUGACCUCUGAACACUAAGCCGUGCUUGCUUUGUUCCCAACCCCUCAUCCCGGGCGUCGCCUGUGGUUACUCGGUAGCCUUACUGAUUUCCACUGCACACAUGUAGAUUAUUGGAAUAGUUCAUGUGUGCUGAGCAUUUCUAAAAAAAAAAAAACAAGGCUCCCGUGAUGAGUAACUGGCAGCUUCGGUUCCCAGAGAGCAUUUGGGGGAUAAAAACACCAAAGCACUCCUUUAAGAAAACCCAAAACAUUAGAGGUUAGAUACGCCUAAUGUUUUCAGUAGCUUUAUUCAUCAUGUUCUGCAAACUGGCAAUCUUGAUGUCCAUCAACUGGUAAGUGGGCCAGUGAACUAGAAUACAGCUAUACAAGUGGGACAUUUGUACAGCUACGGUACUGCUAAAAGAGUUGAGAAUUUCUCUGACG